GGAAGAAGCAUUUGUUAGAACAAGCACUUUGGACAGAGAGCGCACCGGGAGGCCCACAGUGCUGAGCCAGGCGAUAGAGGUAGAUAACUCCUUUGAUGAAGACUGACAACUCUUCAAAUACAAUAAGCUACAGUGUUACCAGUGUCUUAGAUACGUGUCCCGCGCGCGACUUCCCACCGUCAAGAAGCACGCGGACAUUUAGAAAUCCUUACUGUGACCAACCUUUUUAAUCUUAGAAGAGGAAGCCCCGCCGCACCAACAUGGAGCGCUUAUAAAACCCUAGUGCAGCGCACCCACA
rnacentral:lncRNA from 1 species